rnacentral:rRNA from 1 species
UGAACGCUGGCGGCAUGCUUUACACAUGCAAGUCGAACGGCAGCGCGGGCUUCGGCCUGGCGGCGAGUGGCGCACGGGUGAGUAAUGCAUCGGAACGUGCCCAGUAGUGGGGGAUAGCCCGGCGAAAGCCGGAUUAAUACCGCAUACGACCUGAGGGUGAAAGCGGGGGACCGAAAGGCCUCGCGCUAUUGGAGCGGCCGAUGUCGGAUUAGCUAGUUGGUGGGGUAAAGGCUUACCAAGGCGACGAUCCGUAGCUGGUCUGAGAGGACGACCAGCCACACUGGGACUGAGACACGGCCCAGACUCCUACGGGAGGCAGCAGUGGGGAAUUUUGGACAAUGGGGGCAACCCUGAUCCAGCCAUGCCGCGUGCGGGAAGAAGGCCUUCGGGUUGUAAACCGCUUUUGUUCGGGAAGAAAUCCUCUGGGCUAAUACCCCGGGGGGAUGACGGUACCGGAAGAAUAAGCACCGGCUAACUACGUG